AUUGAACGCUGGCGGCAUGCCUUACACAUGCAAGUCGAACGGUAACAGGUCUUCGGAUGCUGACGAGUGGCGAACGGGUGAGUAAUACAUCGGAACGUGCCUAGUAGUGGGGGAUAACUACUCGAAAGAGUGGCUAAUACCGCAUGAGAUCUACGGAUGAAAGCAGGGGAUCGCAAGACCUUGUGCUACUAGAGCGGCCGAUGGCAGAUAAGGUAGUUGGUGGGAUAAAAGCUUACCAAGCCGACGAUCUGUAGCUGGUCUGAGAGGACGAUCAGCCCCGCUGGGACUGAGACACGGCCCAGACUCCUACGGGAGGCAGCAGUGGGGAAUUUUGGACAAUGGGCGAAAGCCUGAUCCAGCAGUGCCGCGUGCAGGAUGAAGGCCUUCGGGUUGUAAACUGCUUUUGUACGGAACGAAAAGCCCUGGGUUAAUACCCUGGGGUCAUGACGGUACCGUAAGAAUAAGCACCGGCUAACUACGUGCCAGCCGCCGCCGUAA
rnacentral:rRNA from 1 species